rnacentral:rRNA from 1 species
UACAGAGAGGGCAAGCGUUAUUCUGCAGUAUUGGGUGUAAAGGGUAUGUAGGUGGCCACUCAGACCCACUGUCAAAUUUUUUGAGAAAGAACUGAAGACGGACAGAGGCCGAUCGGGUGGCUAGAGUUAUGCAGGAGUUGGGAGAAUUUCAUAAGGAUGGAUCAAAUCAGCAGAUUUAUGAAGGAAGACCAAAGGCGAAGGCACCUUUCUAUGAUAACU